rnacentral:rRNA from 1 species
AUGGCUUCUCACCAAUACAUUCAUGCUAUUUUUCUCAUAUCUUGCUUUCAUCCUUGUGAUAUGUCAUGUGCAUUAUUCAUGCCCACUAUUUGCACCAAUGACAUGCUUGCCAUGAUUCCUCCUAGUAUGUUGCAUCUUCGCACUACUAGCUUGCGUCACUUGAUCACUAUGAUUGCUUGCUAUGUUGCAUCACCCAUGUUCCACUAUUACUUGCUUUCUUGGGUUGAUGACAUAUAUGCUCAUGCCUCUCACAUGAUAUAUCUUGAUCAUUGUCUCUUGUGUCCAUUAGUUGCCUCUUUCAUAUCCACUUCUAUUGAGUGCAACCAUACUAUGCUUAUUGAUCUUGGAGACUUUGACACCUUACUUGUGAUGCAUGCUUGCUUGAUUGAGCCUUUUGUACUUGGUUGUUCUUGCAUCAUAUGCCUCCAUCCUAUGACACGCUCCCUUGUACUUUCUUAUGAUGAGCAUGAUGCAUACACUUGUUGGGUAUCUUACCACUCGAAUGAUAGGUUUUGCAUCUCCGCUAACCUCAUUUGUUCUUCCAAGUGUUUGUCAUGUUCUUUCAUUUUGGAGGAUUCACAAGGCGGUGCCGUUAUGCGACAACUUGGUCAUGUGAAGGCAUACACAAUGUGCGACACCAACAUCUUCGACAUUCUCAUAAAGGUGAACUCCUUCCCUUUGAGCCACCCUCAAGUACGCAUAUUGGACGGAUCACUCUUUCAUUGUUGUUUCCUUCUUGUUGUCUACAUGAUACAUCUCGUGAACGGAGGAGCGACAUUGGAGAUUGGCUACAGGAACCUUCACAUUGAGGAGCGCUCGCACUUAUUGGAUGCAUCUUCGGACUUCCACUCUUGCCACGACUUCGAGCAUUGGUACACCAACACCUCCAUAUUUGUUGAUUGUGCUCAUACAUGUCAUGCUCGAUGGACAUAUCAUAUUCACCACAAGUUUGCACCAUAUGCAUGGAUUGACUCACAUUAUGCUUCUCUUGUUGCAUCUAUUUCCAUGUCAUCCAUGAUAUAUGAGCUUGUGCAUUUCCUUAGCAAAUUUGUUGUGAUCUUCCUUGAUGGCAUAUUCAUACAUCAUGAUCAUAUUGUCCACCAUCAAUUGCAUGAUAGCUUACACAUAUUGAGCAUCCAUUGCCAUAUUCAUGCUAUUGAUGAACCGUCUCUCUAUGACAUCAUUUUGCAUCGUGGUUGCAUUGCUCAUAUUCAUAACACAUUUGUGUACACAAUGAUUGCUUUUCCUCCCAUGAAUGCUUUGCAUCUCAUUCUAGAUCAACUUGAUAAGCUUCAUGCGCUUUGUCACGACCAAUCUUGCCGCGCGGAUUCAUUCUUACAUGAUGGACACUUUUUGUGCGCUAACCAUUGUAUUUUCGAGUGUUGCUUGUGUUUGCUCUUUUUGCAUGUCUCUCACUCCGGCGACACCUUGGACUACUUGGAUUGCGCCAUGUCUUCAACUUCGUCCAACUACAAGUCCAUCCACGACAACCGUUUCCAUGGUGAUGACGAUCACGAUCCGAGGUUGGAUCUUUCCCAAGGGGGGGGGAGAUGA